rnacentral:precursor_RNA from 15 species
GUCACCUACCUGGAGAAGACUGCUUCAUAUCGGUCGAGGCUAGUGUAAUUCUGUGACAGCUUUGCAGCAAGUAUUGCACUUACCCCGGCUGAUAUGUAGCAGUUACUUACAUCUUCUGAAAGU